rnacentral:lncRNA from 7 species
AAAUAUGUAUAUUUGGGUACAGUAGAUUGAUGCAGCACCCCACUGGGAGUCACAGAACCAAGUGACUGGGGGGGUGUGCAGUGUUUCCUUGCUCUUCUUAGCUGACUUGUUGACAUGCACAGAAUCCCAGUAACCCUUUAACCUGUUUGUAUACAAAGUCCAAGUGUGCAGCUUGUUAUCACUGUUUUUUUCAUAGACACUCUUUUUUCCUGAGUGAACUCUCCCACUGAAAAUAUGGCUUUUGUUCUUAAUUCUGUAUGUCUGAUUUUUCAUGAACGUAUGGCAUCUUGCAUUAGGUGCUUGCACAAGGAAUGCCUGUUGCAUUCAGAGAGCACGUUGGGCUUUUGGAACACCUCCUGCUAUGCCUUUACAGUAAAACAAUACCUGUGAAAGUUGGCUGGACUUGCUUUCCUGCAGUUUCUCUGGCUGAGAUGGACAAACUUGCUAUCAAGAAUCAUUUUAAGUGUAGAAGAUUUCACAGCUGAAGAAAGACUGGAAAUAUUAAAAUUGUUUAACUUGAAGAAAAGGAUGGUGAAGGGUCUCCUAAGGCAACAGGAAUAUACUGAACUGUGGGACAAGAAACACCUCUUGCUGAUGUCUGUGGUGAAAAAGGAAGAGAACUGGAGCAUGGAGGACUGAGGUUAAAUGUGCCAUGUCGAUUGAUGAAAGAAUGAUGUUCAAUGAAGCUAUGCAACAUAACUUUCUUUUCUUGCUACUACAUUCUAUGCAACAUUGCUUGCUAUAUACUGCAUUAUUCACAAGCUCAUACCAGCAGUGACUGAUUGAACAUGACGAGCUGACAGCCAGUGCUUAGCUCCCACCAGCCAGAUAUACUGCUCAUGAAUGUUAAUAGCAGCACUGUGAAGUGACAUGUGGAAGAAUGGGUUUGUGUACAGCCUGCAUUGCUGCAGGCAUCUCUAAACUUAUCAUUGUUAUUAGCCUGCUUAGGAAAUGAUGAAUUUCGGAUGCAAACGAUAUUUUACAGGACCUUGCUACUAAAGUGUACUAUGAGAUAUUUGUGACACUUUUGAUUGCUGUAGGGCUGUAUCUAACAUUGUGAGUCACUAACUCAAGUAUAGAAUGUUCCAACUGCACAUUAACAUU